UCGAGCUAGACGGAGAGUUAGCGGUGCUCUGUUGCCCACAAUCCGCUAUAGUGGGGUUGAAUGCUUGGUGCGGUUUGAUUUUGUCAAAUAUGUGCAUGUAAUUUAGGCGUUGAAGUCAAGGUCUUAUGCAAUCAAAAUCCUUGAAUCAUGUCAGGUCCUGACGGAAGCAUCAUUAAGAGGACACUUUGGUGUGCCAUAGGGAAGCUUUGGUGGAGCUUAGUUUAUGUGAGGCAGUUGGUAAUUUCUUAUCAAGUCAAGAUGCUCGA
rnacentral:SRP_RNA from 1 species